UACGUAGGGGGCAAGCGUUGUCCGGAAUCAUUGGGCGUAAAGAGCGUGUAGGCGGUUCGUUAAGUCGGCUGUGAAAGUCCAGGGCUCAACCCUGGGAUGCCGGUCGAUACUGCCGGACUAGAGUUCGGAAGAGGCGAGUGGAAUUCCCGGUGUAGCGGUGAAAUGCGCAGAUAUCGGGAGGAACACCUAUGGCGAAGGCAGCUCGCUGGGACGUUACUGACGCUGAGACGCGAAAGCGUGGGGAGCAAACAGG
rnacentral:rRNA from 1 species